CUCUAUUCUUUGUAUUUUAACACACCAUCAUUCUCUUUUAUUAUCAGUGUUUUCUUAAUCUUUAAUGUCUCAGCCUUUAAAUUUUGCACUUUUGCCCAUAGGGAUUAUUACAUGAUUGGUGUAUCUAUUCUGUAAACACCAUCCAGACCCUCAGUUUAUGUGAAUAUAUAUAAGUUAUCUGGUGUAUUUAGUCACACUCACCCAAUCUUGAUUAAGUCAUAUUGAUUAUUAAUAACAAAUUGGCAAAGCAAUGUGAUGGGUAAAUAUCAGUUAAAGUAAGUUGUACUUACAAACUUUAUUGUACUUUUACAGACAAUUCAUCAAUUAAACUUUGUGUCAAGUUUUCUUUUAAUUCAAUAAUAAUUAAGGAAUACACAAAUGUGACAAUUUUGACUGAAGUUUUCUAUUUGUAUCAUAAUAUGAAUACCAAUUACUUUUAAAUGCCAUUAAUGGUUUACAUAUUUUUUUCAGUACAUGCAUGAAGAUGACUUGGAGGCAAUGGUGUCAUACAUGUUAGUUUUAACUAUAAUAGCCUAACUGAAAUUUGAAAAAAGUUAUCAGAGGAAAAGAGUGACCACUUCUUUCUUAUGAAGAUCAACACACACAAGGAAAUUAUCAGACAAUUUGUAACCAGAUAUGGGGGCAGUAUUAGAUAUAUGCAUGAAAAGAAAGUGAAAUCAAUAUUUUUUAGAUAAAAGCUUGAUGAUAUAUAACAAAAAUAUUAAAACAGUGCUGAAUAUGAAAACCCCAUGCCAUGUCACAUGUAACUUUUGGAAUGCAGAGAUUUUCAGUAUUACAAUAAAAGGAAGGAUUUCAUUACUGUUAAAACUGACUCUGGAACAUUCAAGACAAAGAAAUAAAGAAAUAAAAACAUGAGAGGAAAUGACUGUGCACUUCUUUUUUGAAGGAUCAACACACAAAAGGAAAUGUUCAUAUCAUUAUGCAUCAUGUGCAGUAGUUGAGAUAAUUUUGGAUAUAUACAUAAAGCUGUGAACUAAGUGAUAAUUAUAAUUCAAACAUCAUAUGUGGUACCUGCAUGUACUUACUGGUAUAUAUAUUGUAAUUCACAACAUUUUACAUGGAUAUAUAGGAAUAUUCUUUGCAUGAUACAUGUGAAAUAAAAAAAGACAAGUAUAGGAAUAAAGAAUUAUCUAGUACAGCAUUAUCAUAUGAAAACCAGCAGGAUGAUACAUGUAUAUGUCUAUACAUUUAUUAUGGAUCAUGGAAACCUACAAGGAAGUAUUGUAUGCAUUGUUAUAAGGAUUAUUAGUUUAAAUUCAAUGUGACAUAUGCAAUGCCUUUUGUUUUAAUUUUGAGAAAACUAUUUGAAAUGAAUGAAAAAUUAUAAGUUUCUUUGACAUUGAAACCUUUGAAAUAGUCAUAUUUGUAUGUAAUAGGCA
rnacentral:lncRNA from 1 species